rnacentral:misc_RNA from 1 species
CAAACAGACACGGUCUCGUCAACACCUCCUGCAUGUACCUCAACGUCUUCACUGCAAACUCGAACAAGAAGUGGGCGAAGAGUCCGCUGGCCGGCGAAAUACAUACAAGUUUUCUAUUUCAAAAAGAUUCCAGAGAAUUGCAGCCUUCCCAAGAACCAACCAUUACAAACUGGUGAUCCCGAUGUUGCACCAUAACAGGGCUUCAAGAUUUCACUAUGACCCUGGCAGGAUGGCUAACAGGUGCUAUGCCUUGCCAAAUGGCAACAUGUGGUUUUGUCUGCGACUGUUUAUUGUGUAUAUGCAGUUAACCUUUAUAUUUGUCGACCAUUCCUCUACCCGCACACUGGGAACCCAAUGGAUGGGAGUUUUCAUCACUGCACCAAGCUCGACAAGACGAUGAUGAUGAUGAAGUUAUAAUAAUGAAGCCACACCAAAGAAUAAUAUUCUGAAAGCAUU